rnacentral:lncRNA from 1 species
GGCACAGACCCCGCAAUGUGCCACCGCCCUGUCCUCACUGCGGCAGUGCCCUCGCCUCAUCCCUUGUCUCUUAUGGGCCUCCUGGGCAUUGCACAAACAAGCACACCUACAACGCUGCCACAAAAGAAGCAGCAGCUACAAAAACCUGCAGGGAUGCUUCUGACCCCACAGAUGGGACACUGACAGUGACAAAACCCACACGGCCCGAGGGCAUCACUCCAGCAAUGACCAGGCACACCAGCUUACCUGACGGGCAGGGAUGUGGCACGGUGAGCAGUGAGCUGGUCCUGCAUUCCCACCAGCAUCCCGGGAAGGAGGCACGAGCAGCAUUCCGAUCCCAUCUGUGUGCAUCUCUGUGGAGGCGAGUGGCACCAUCGCGAGGGGGGCACAGUGGCCCACACAUCCUUCCCCAUGCUCCUGCUCUGAGCCCCCCCAUCCCAACUGGUUGAUCCACAGAGCAAACGGCCCCUCUCCACCCAGAAGCAAGGCAGAAGCAUGCAAAUGUGAUCCCACCACCGCAGUGACGCAUCAACUGCAAGGAAACAGACACAACCCCCCCCGAGUCCUACCUGGCAGCUCCAUCUCCCAGCUCUCCAAAACUGCGUGGGACAUCCUGAUGGGCUGAGUGCCCUGCAAUGCUCACAACCACGCUUGGCAAAGGAUGGUGUCAGCGGGUGGCCCCCGACUCAUCUUUGCUUCUGGGGCUUUCAGAUGCAUUCCUGGGGCAUGGGAGACGCUUGGCAGUGUCACCCCAAUGCCACCUCCCUGCCCCACUCCAACGCCCCCCAGCUGGCGCACAGCCCUUGCUUGGCACACUACUCCGGUGCCCUAUUUCUCUCUCCCUGCAGAAGAAACACCAAACCAGCCCCUGACACGAGGCCAAAGGCCGUGGCAUUGCAGAGACAAGACAUGACGACUAGCAGAUGCCCCGAGGUCACACACAACGGCCUCGGGGCCGCCCCGCGCUCCCCACUCUUCUCUCUCCCCGGGUCGGUUUGGGCUGGCUUCCUUGUCCUCCUCCUUCGGGACGGCGUUCGACUUUCUCGUGCCAUGUAACGUGCAGUUGUGAGGAACGUGUUGGCUGUCCGAGGCCGCGGCAGUGCUGUGCGGGUGGGUGGCAGAGCCUCGUGCCACCGCCACUCCCCGCCUGCUCGCCCCGCCGGCGCGCGGUCUUCAAGUUUCCGUCGAUCAUUGUAUUCCAAGGGUGGCUAUACUACCUGAGAUUUGUGCAUGUUACAUUGUAGUUGUAACCUUUUCUAAUUCGGCAAGAAUAAGAGAUGGUUGUGAUUGUGCAGUGUAUCAAUAAAGUUUGACGAACUUUGUACCCUCGGGGCAUUGCUUCACGGAGCGCACGUGCCAUGGAGAGCGCGUGGGGCUCCCGUGCGCCAUGCUCCAUGGUAGCCUCAUUCAGCUCCUGGUUGCCCUCGCACCGGCACUGCUUCCAGCCCCGUGGUUUGUCUGGUUCCCAACCAGGCUCCUUGCUCUGUGCCCCGCUGCUAUUUGACUCUUCCCUCAUCCCCGUCCCCACGCCUGUCCUCCGCUGAUGGGACGUGCGGCGUAGACAAGCACAUACCUACUUAAGGAGCCCUGCAGGGGAAGGACCGGCUCUGCUCUGCUUGCUCACCUACCUUCAGUAGAAGCAUCACUGGAUUCUCCCUUCUGGUAGCUGUGUCAUCUCACGUGUCAUCAUCUCUUAACAACGUUUGCUCCAACAGAUAAACCUUCUGAGCAAGGAAUGCCACUGCAGAGGAAAUGCUCCUAACAGUGCUUUGCGCCUAUCAAGACGUGACUCCACAAGACACAGACAAUAUGUCUUCAUCAACGAAGACCAGGGGAAGGGACCUGUGCCUCUUGGGACCAUUUUUUCCAUCCCACUGAUGGAUGCUCAUGAGUGAGGGGCCCUGUUUUCCUGCAGAAAUCCCAAAGCUGAUAUCUCAGAGCCCUGUGUUAAAGGCUAGGAAGGCUGCUGGGAGCACAAGAGCAGCAGGAUGGUCUGGGGGCAAUGCCCGACCCAUCAGGGAAUUGAUUCCUUGCUCUGCACCUCCCUUUGCCUUUCCUGAGAUGAAGCUCAGAGUAUAUCACUGAGCCCUGCAGCCAGCUGCUGUUCAUGGUGACAGCCUCCCACAGCCUGCAACUGCCUGAGCAUACGGCUCUAUCAGGGACACCUUGACUGUGCUCCUUGGAAAGAAAGAGGAGGAAAGAAUAAAACAUUAAAAGCCCUGCAAUCGUUACAGACCAGCUCUGAUCCUCACACAACACGCCAUGUGCCAGGUGGAGCCCGCACGCCUUGAGAAGCUGGUGGCUACAGUGAAAGCUCAAGACUCAAUGCACCAAACACCCUUCCGAGAAUCAACAACACCCCUCCACACACCAACAGAGACCAACGCCAGCACGCCAACAGCGAGGUUUCACCAACACCCAAACUCACUUGUGACCUGCACGGCCGCACCGUAUCACCUCCAACACCAUCGGGGACGCAAUCAGCUCACAGAGCAGCACCCCAAGCCCUCCAAGUACUCACCGAAGCCUUACCUGUGCCGCAUCACACCUGGGCUCAGCGGUGACGUCCUCCUCCUGCUGCUCCAUCCUCUCCUUGCAGCGCAUCACUGCUCCCUCCCUCCCUCCAUCCCAGCACCCCUCCCCGUGCCCAGCGGCCGCGGCGGGGGCAAUGAGCACCACAAGCAGACGGAGCGGCCACAUGGAACAAUCGUUUUAAUGGAUAGAGGCAGAGAGAGCCCCCUCGCCGCCCGCCCGCCGUGCCCCCGCCUCGCUGUCGGCCGCGGAGAAGGAAGGGAAACCAAAGGAGGAAAAGAAACUGCAGGAGUGACCCCCACCAGUGAAAAAUAAAGCGAGUUGUUGAGGUGUCCCACCCUCCCCCCUCAAAUUUCAGCCGGUGGCUCAGCGGCGGGUGCCGAUCGCUUCGCCUUCUUUUAUAUAUAUAUAUAUGUAUAUAUAUAUAUAUAUAUACACACACACACAUACGCACACACACCCACACACAUAUACAUAUAUAUAUAUAUAUAAAUAUGAAACUGAGCUAUAUAGAUCUAUAUCUAUGUCCAUCCCUCGGUUCGCUUUAUUCCACCACCAAGGGCCGGGGCUGGGCUGCGCAGCACGGGGUGAUGGAGAGGGACCCCGGCCCCCAUGCAGCACCUGUGUCCCCCUGUCCCCGGACACCCGAGGGCAGAAAGGUGAUGGGACCCGGGCACGUGCGGAGCGAGAACCUCUCCUCAUCUCACGGAGGACCAAUACACACCUAACUCCAUAUACAGCAUGCAGUAAUGGCAGCGGAAGGACCCUGCUGGGAACUGUGGCUAGAAUGC